rnacentral:rRNA from 1 species
AUUGAACGCUGGCGGCAUGCCUUACACAUGCAAGUCGAACGGUAACGCGGGGCAACCUGGCGACGAGUGGCGAACGGGUGAGUAAUGUAUCGGAACGUGCCCAGUUGUGGGGGAUAACUGCUCGAAAGAGCAGCUAAUACCGCAUACGACCUGAGGGUGAAAGCGGGGGAUCGCAAGACCUCGCGCAAUUGGAGCGGCCGAUAUCAGAUUAGGUAGUUGGUGAGGUAAAGGCUCACCAAGCCGACGAUCUGUAGCUGGUCUGAGAGGACGACCAGCCACACUGGGACUGAGACACGGCCCAGACUCCUACGGGAGGCAGCAGUGGGGAAUUUUGGACAAUGGACGCAAGUCUGAUCCAGCCAUGCUGCGUGCGGGAAGAAGGCCUUCGGGUUGUAAACCGCUUUUGUCAGGGAAGAAACGCUCUGGGUUAAUACCCCGGGGUAAUGACGGUACCUGAAGAAUAAGCACCGGCUAACUACGUGCCAGCAGCCGCCGUAACAC